UACGUCUCGUUGCAGAUCAACAUGUUGUCGGAGAUCGACGACCAUCUGUUUCUUUUUGGAGAUCAACAGGAAGAAUAUGUCAUGCUGUCUCCUCUUGAGCAUCAGAUUGCUGAGGCAAAUGACGAUGAUGUCAACCAAAACAAGCCCCUCGAUCACAAAAAUGGGAAUAAAGCGAAGGGCUCGGUGACGGGGAGCAGCAGCAGUAUGCGUACCAGAGUUGCAUUCAGAACGAAAUCAGAGAUUGAGAAAUUGGAUGAUGGAUAUAGCUGGAGAAAGUACGGAAAGAAGAUGAUGAAGAACAGCCCGAAUCCAAGGAACUAUUACCGCUGUUCGAGCGAAGGAUGCAAUGUCAAGAAGAGAGUCGAGAGAGAAAGCGAAGACUCGAGGUUCGUGAUAACGACAUACGAAGGCAUUCAUAACCAUCGCGCCCCCUUGCCUGCGACACCCGCACCGCAUCCAACGAUCGGAAGACCUCAUCCACGCAGCUUUUCUCGCUGAGUAAAACCAGGCAGAGAUACUUGUCACGAAUCCAUGGAAAGAGAGGUCGCUCCCACGCAAAGUUGGAAGGAGGCACAUUGCAUGCAAACUCAAGUCGCUGAUACUGAGAAGAAGUUAUUAUACAAAAUUUAGCGUAAUUUGUUGAUCUAGGAAUCGUGAAUAGAAAAGAU